CUUUUCCGGCCUCUGCAGCUGCGCGGGCGGGCGUGGUUGCCGGGGACGCGCGGCCCCCGGUCGGGCACUGCAGGCGGCGAAACGACUUGGGAAGGCCCUUUCGGGGUAAUAGUCCGGUUCCUGAUGUUCUUGUCAUAUGAGUUACGGGCAGCAGAGCUGGGUGAAGUCGGGGCGGGAGGUCCGCGUGGGGCGCGGCGUCCAUCCCAGACAGAGACCGCUGCCUAGCCGGCUUCCCGCUUCGUCCGUGGCCUCGGGCCCCAGACCCUGCGCCCCACGUCCCCGGGACCCAGGCGUUCCCGUCCCCUACUCGGGGACGAGCCUCCCCGGCGCCGGGUGGGCGGUGCAUCCUUUCCUCCCACCCGUAACGGGAGCGGUGCCUGGCGCGCUCUGGCGCAGACCCUGCUGGGAAUGUAGCUCGCGCAGUUUUCUUCGUACUAUUAAUUUAUUUCUUUUUUUUGUUUUUGGUUUUUUUUUUUUAAAUGACUGUAGCAGGCAGUAACGUGCGAAAGAAAGACGCUCCAGCGUCUUCCUAGGCCAGUUUCUUGUUGCUGUGCUGCACGGGACCCAGCUCCUUUUGCUGGGCCACGUGUUGCUCCUCCGCUUGGGCGGCCCUGAAUUCUGGGCGCUGGUGAUCGCUGAGUGAAUCGCAGCUGCUUCCCUGUCCUUGAGGGCGUCUUUUGGGCACUCAGGCGACUCUUUAGAAAUGAGUUUUGCUUUAAUAAUUAAUAUUAACGUUAUAAAUCCAAAACCUAGUUAUACUUAAGUAGCGUAUCCCCUGGUAUGUUUUAAAGAGUCAUUCGAAGGGGAUUUUUAAAAAUAAUGUAUAGCUAUAAACUGCAUUUAUACAUUUAAUUGUUAUUUUGUUAAGCGAUUGAGUUACUUGACAAAAUCCAAGUACAUAGUUCACUCACAAAUCUAAUAUGUCAAACCUAAAUGUGGUUGGUAAAUCUUACUCUCAUAAUUUCAAUAUGGUUUACAGAUGUGGUUGAAUUCUGUUACACAUGUCUACUUACGAGUCAGAAUCGUUAUUCCAUUUAAUAUUUUAAAAUGGAAUUGCCAAGUUAAUCCAUACAUUAGCAUGUUAAAUUAUUUUAACCGUCGUGAAUACAUCAAAAUAGACGAUUCCAAAAUGUAAUGGAAAAUACUAAUGCUAAUACUUCAAUUUACUUCAUUAUUUCUGCCCUUAAUCCUGAAUCUUCCUGGAGUUACAGGUGCUUAUCCACUAAACCAGGGGUUUUCAAGCAAGAAGUCAGAAUGCAUUAAUGGACAGCAUUUAAAAAAAUAGGAUUGGGUGGGCUAUAAUCCAGCACUUUAGGAGGCCGAGGCAGGCGGAUCACUUAAGAUCAGGAGUUCGAGACCAGCCUGGCCAACAUGGUGAAACCCCGUCUCUACCAAAAAAUAAAAAAAUUAGCUGGACGUGGUGGAGCAUGUCUGUAAUCCCAGCUACUCGGGAGGCUGAGGAAGGAGAAUCGCUUGAACCCGGGAGGCAGAGGCUGCACUCUAGCCUGGGCAACAGAGCAAGGCUCUGUCAAAAAAAAAAAAAAAAAAAAAAAAAAGAAAAAGGAUUAAAGCGAAUAGAAAUAAGAGUGUGUUGCUUAGAGUAAGGUGCUGUUCAUUGUAAAACUUUUGUCUCAGCUCUACAUACAUAUAUAGAAAUAUGUACACAAAUAUUUUUCAUAUAUACAUAUAUAUGUAACUAUAUGAACACACUUUUGUGUGUUAAAUCAGAAUAUAAAAAACCUGAGGGUCAAUCAAUGAGCCAAAAGGUAACCAGUCGUACUCUGGAAAAAUUUGGGUCCUCUGGUUACAAAGGAGCUGUCAUGAAGUAGUUUGCUGACUUACAGAGAUGGCUGAAGAAAAGUGCUUCUGCUGGUGAGAUAACCAAUGCUUGUGAUCAGAUAUGGAUGUGGUAUGAACAUUAAAAGGUUUCCUUCGGUUUUCUCAUCUCCAUCCCUUCAAUAAAAUAUCUCACCCUGAUACUUGUAGUCUGACUCUAGUGGGAUAACACAGGACUCCUGUUAUCCUUGACACUGUUAUCCAGUUAUCCAGGGGGCAUCUCUGCAACCUGUGGUGGAGUAGACCAUCUUUGCCUUCCGCUUGGACUGUUUGCUGGGUGCACUGCUCCUGUCUAGGCUCAGGUCUUCACCACCAAAGUAGACUUUUUACAAAACCUUUGGUUUCCCCUUCAAGGCACUUUCUACUGCCAGAAUGAUCUUUCUAAGGCAGAAUAUCCAACCAGGUGCAAUUUGUGGGUGCUUACAGGGUCAUGAAAUACCACCUAUGGUAGUUAGUUUCCACAAAUGGCCAAGAUAGACGUGUGGGUGAAGCCAUCCUGUGUGUCCCAGCCCCU
rnacentral:lncRNA from 1 species